UCCCAGCCGGUGAGAAAGGCAGUGCUUUUGCUAAAACAGGGUUCUUCAGAAGGGAGUGUGUGAAAAGCACGGAUGAUCAGCUACCCGCGUCCCGAAAAGGGGCUUCGGGAACCGCCGCAAAACCUGGGAAGAGGUCAGAAUGCAGAGGCCGUGCUUAAUGGCGUGUUUCACGUGUUUUACACGUGUCCAAAUGUAAAAUACUUCCCAUUCCAUCGUCAUACUCGAGAUGUGUGGACUUUAAUGAAGUUACUUUUUAACGAAAUUUAGGAAUAAAGUUAAAGCAGACGUCAGGCGUUAUGGUGCAGGCUCGAGAGUGCUGAGGCAGGAGGAACUCAGUGAGUUAGAGUCAUUCCCUACUACGUGGUGAAUUCCAGAAAGACCCUCUGUUAAAAAAAUUAAUCCUAGCCGGGCGGUGGUGGCGCACGCCUUUAAUCCCAGCACUCGGGAGGCAGAGGCAGGCGGAUCUCUGUGAGUUCGAGACCAGCCUGGUCUACAGAGCUAGUUCCAGGACAGGCUCCAAAGCCACAGAGAAACCCUGUCUUGAAAAAAAAAAAAAAAGAAAGAAAAGAAAAAAAUUAAUCCUAAAGCAGAAACAAGUGUUUUUUUUAGGACUUGGACCAAUGAGCAUACUGGAAGUGAACAUUUAUGAGAGGAAACUAUUGUGGGUUUGUCUUUUCUUAUCGUCGUACUUUGCACUUUUAUUGUGUUCAGAAUUUUAUUUCUCCAGAAAUGAACAGUGAAAACCCCAUUGAGGCCCUGUUACUACAGCUAAGUGAUUGCAUUUAUGACGGCCUCGGUGAGAGGGAUAGAGCUGGGCAGGGUAAAGGUGAUUCCAAGUUCAGAAGAGCACUUCUUUCUGAGGGCAACUUUUGGAGCCACAGUUUCUGAUGAUAGGAAAUCCAGAAGGGAGAAGAGCAAUUUCUCUUGCUUUUCUAUAUCCACAAUAAUCCCAUACUUGCUACUGAUCUUUCAGAAUUCUAGGCUUUGCCCCCUGACAUCAGAACCUGGAAAAAAGCCUUUAGUUAAUAAACACUUGCUGUGAGGUGCGUCUUUCUUCCCAGAGUUAAGGAUGGCAUCCUUUAAUCCUAAGUACGGACUCUAAAUCAUGUUCUAGUGCAAGUGGGAGCAGGGCUAUAGCUCAGAGGCAUACUGCUUGCCUGGAACACACGAACCCAUAGGUUCAAUUUGCAAGACCCUUCCAAAAGCUAUGAGAACGUUAUUUGACAAUACAAUCUUUCAAUAAUGUAGCAGUAAUAUAUUGAACCCACGUAUCUAUCUUCUUCACCCCCCUGAAGCCCUACCAAAUGUCGGGAUUUUUAAAUGCGUCAACCAUUCAUGAAGGAAGCAGAGGACUGCUGGCCACUGGAGAUACCAUCCUCUGAGACAAAAAUUACCUUCAAACUAUGGCUGAUGCCACCUCACUCCGUGUGAAAGAGCUCCCCAAUGCUGAAGUGCAGAAGAACCGUGUACUAACCCUGGAAGAAUGGCAGGAUAGGUGGGUGACCCGUAACAUCGGAUUUCAUCAGGAACAAGGGCAUAGACUAUUAAAGAAGCAUUUGGAUACAUUCCUUAAAGGCCAGAGUGGACUGAGAGUGUUUUUCCCUCUCUGUGGAAUGAGAUGAAAUGUUAACAGAUGCGAGAAUGGUUGGAACAUCAUGUGAUGGUCACCUUUGGUCACCUGUGGCUUCAUCUGCAGAAGACAUGAGAUAAAAGCCAAACUCCACCCCCAUGAGUGAAGCUGCAUAUGAGCAGACUAAAUCCACAUGUGUGCUGUUCAGACAGUGCCCUGCUGCCUCAGUUUACCCCCAGGCCCAGCCUUUCUUCUCCACACUUGGUGUCAGAAACUUCCCAUUCAGUUUCCCUCAUCCCAUCCCUUCACAGCGAUUCAAACAGCACAUUUUCCAACACCCGCCUUCUUCUUUUUCCUUCCUUCCUUCCUUCCUUCCUUCCUUCCUUCCUUCCUUCCUUCCUUCCUUCCUUUCUUUCUUUCUUUCUUUCUUUAAGAUUUCUGCCUCCUCCCCGCCACUGCCUCCCAUUUCCCUCUCCCUCCCCCGAUCAAGUUCCCCUCCCUCAUCUAAAAGCAAUCAGGGUUCCCUGACCUGUGGGAAGUCCAAGGACCACCCACCUCCAUCCAGGUCUAGUAAGGUGAGCAUCCAAACUGCCUAGGCUCCCCCGAAGCCAGUACGUGCAGUAGGAUCAAAAACCCAUUGCCAUUGUUCUUGAGUUCUCAGUAGUCCUCAUUGUCCGCUAUGUUCAGCAAGUCCGGUUUUAUCCUAUGCUCUUUCUGACCCAGGCCAGCUGGCCUUGGUAAGUUCCUGAUAGAGCAUCCCCUUUGUCACAGCAACACCCGCCUUCUGAAACUGCCCUUAGGACUCCAUCCCAGGGAGUGCCCCAUUGUACUGUUUAUCCAGCUGUUACACUGACAGGUUUGUGAGUGUGGUGUGUACUUGUGUUUGCUGAGGAUUGAUGGAAGAAUAAAAAGCAGACAGAUCUAGUGUUGUACAAGAUGCAGUUUACUGAAAGAUUUACAGAAGUGUGGGCCUAAGAGGCAGCUGGUUGCUCACUGUUUGGGUCAGAAGAAGCAUAUAUGAGUUAGGGUCAAAGGGUCUCGAUCACUGAGAUUUAGUUUAUCUUAACACCAGAGUCAGAUUGCUCCUGGAGCAAGGGUCCCAUCAUCGAAUUCCACAGACCCCUCUGAAGGAUCUACUUGUAUUUUGCAAGACAAUAUACAGAAAACUCUGGCUAAGAAGAUUAUUCUUUAAUACACAAUAACGUUUUGGAAUCAAUAUGGCUGCAGUCAUAACCUGAAUCUACAUAUUCCACCCUUUAUUAUAGGCUCUUACUAUCUCACACACCUCCUCUUCUGCGGUGUUCCCUGAGCUCAUGAGGGAUUGUAUCAGGUAGACAGCAGUCAGGAGGUGAUUUGUGAGAUUUGGAAACAGAACCUUCAACAGCAGUGAGACAAGUGUUGCUAAGGCAUAAAGUAAUCACGAAACAAGGGCACAACCAACUGUUCCUCUCUUGGAGCCCCAGGAACUAAACUAAUGACUUAGCAUCAUCAAACCAGAGACAAAAUCAGUCAAGGCACUAUACUGGGUUGGCAGUGUGAUAGAAGAUUUGUCACGUCAGAGAUGAACCCAGAGAGACUUCUGACCAACACAGAAAUGCCAUCGCAAUAACACCUACAGCAUGCAGUGACAGUGCAUGAGCUUCAUGCAAUAACACCUGCAGCACACAAGCAUAGCGCAUGAGCUUCAGAGUCCAGAGAUCUCAUAGAAACCCUUCCAGACAUGCUCAUGUCACCAGGCCAGCCACACUACACUGGAAUAUGCUAACGUGUCGUCUAGGAAAGGUGGCCAACAGGGUCUCUUGAUUCUGACUUCACUUAGCUCCAGAGAUUUGCCCUCCUCUGCAGCAAUGACACGGAAGCACUUGCCCCUUCCCUCAGGACCUGGACUCCCUCCCCUCUACCUAACCGCUCAUUGUCCCAUUCCUCAGCAAUAGUCACCUGACCCCAAGAUGCCUCUCAGUUUGGGGACCCUUCUGAAGCUUUGGAGUAAGCACCCCACACACAUCCCUCAUGUUCCUGAGGUAAGCUGUUGAACAUUUUACACACCAUUUUCAGUGUCGCAGAGAGCUCAGAGAAGCAUGCUCAUGCUAUGGGCACUGUGGUCCCUGGAGGGAGGUAAACUUUAGUGAUUGGAAACUUCCCUUGCUUCAGCUACUAAAUGGGGCAGGGCUGAGUGUUAACAUUUCAUGCGGGAAAUGGAUUGCAAAACUGGGAACUCUGGGAGGUGUCUGGAUCGCUUUUUUCUUAUUGCUUUUAUUUUUAUGAAUUGUCACUAAUGUGAUUUUCACUUGCUAAAUAAACCA